AUGUAAAUUUUUGUAAGAUUAUUUAUUUAUUUAAAUAAUAAAUUUAUUAUUAUUAUUAAAAAAUCUCAGUAAUUAAUUUUAUAAAUCAAAGAAAUUUGGAAUUAGUAAUUUUAUUAAAGUAUUGGUUAAAUUUGUGCCAGCAUCCGCGGUUAUACAAAUAAUACAAAUAAAAAUUUUUCAGUGGAAAAUAGUGAUAUAAAAUAAAUAUAAAUUUAUUAGGUGAAAUUUUAAAUUUAUAAAUUUUUUUAUUAUAUAUAUAUAUACAUUAUUUUUAUAAAUUUUAAAAUUAAACUAGGAUUAGAUACCCUAUUAUUUUAAAUGUAAUUUUUUACACUAAGGUAGUAUUUGUUAUGUUCUUGAAACUUAAAAAAUUUGGCGGUAUUUUAGUCUGUUCAGAGGAACCUGUUUUAUAAUCGAUAAUCCACGAUGUACCUUACUUAAAUUUGUAAACAGUUUAUAUACCGUCGUUAUUAGAAUAUUUUAUAAGAAUAAUAAUUUUCAAAUUUUUAAAUUUGAAGAUAUAUCAGAUCAAGGUGUAGCUUAUAUUUAAGUAAAAAUGGGUUACAAUAAAUUUAUUUAAAUGAAUUUAAAUUUGCAAUAUUUGAUGAAAUUGCAUUUGAUAGUAAAAUUUUAAAGAUUAUAAGUUUGAUUUUAGCUCUAAAAUAUGUACACAUCGCCCGUCACUCUUAUUUUUUAAAGUAAGAUAAGUCGUAACAUAGUAGAUGUA
rnacentral:rRNA from 1 species